rfam:Gossypium hirsutum cultivar TM-1 unplaced genomic scaffold scaffold743.1, whole genome shotgun sequence
UGUUAAAAAUUUCAUCUAUUAGUACUGUUAAAAACUAGUGUGCCUGACGGAAUAACCAGAUAAUGACACGUUACAUACAUGUGUACAUCAUGGUGACAUACAGAGACCAAUUUUUAACUGUAGAAAUAGAUGUAAUUUUUAAUA